CCCUUAGAUGUUCUGGGCUGCACGCGUGCUACAAUGGCGCUUGCAACAAGUCUUGCCAACCCGAUAGGGUGAGCGGAUCUUUGAAGAGGCGUCGUGAUCGGGACAGUUGAUUGCAAUUAUUCGACUCGAACGAGGAAUUCCUUGUAAUCGCGAUUCAUCAUAUCGCGCUGAAUACGUCCCUGCCCUUUGUACACACCGCCCGUCGCUCCUACCGAUUGAGCGAUCCGGUGAAUAUUUUGGACUGGCGUCAGAAGCGGUUCGCUCCUGACACUACGAAAUUUUGUAAACCUUAUCGCUUAGAGGAAGGAAAAGUCGUAACA
rnacentral:rRNA from 1 species